UACAGAGGGUGCGAGCGUUGUCCGGAAUCACUGGGCGUAAAGGGCGCGUAGGCGGUCUGGUAAGUCGGGGGUGAAAUCUUGCGGCUCAACUGCAAGGCUGCCUCCUAAACUGUCAGGCUUGAGCACAGUAGAGGCAGGUGGAAUUCCCGGUGUAGCGGUGGAAUGCGUAGAGAUCGGGAAGAACAUCGGUGGCGAAGGCGGCCUGCUGGGCUGUUGCUGACGCUGAGGCGCGACAGCGUGGGGAGCAAACAGG
rnacentral:rRNA from 1 species